rnacentral:rRNA from 1 species
UGACGGUACCUGCAGAAGAAGCGCCGGCUAACUACGUGCCAGCAGCCGCGGUAAUACGUAGGGCGCAAGCGUUAUCCGGAUUUAUUGGGCGUAAAGGGCUCGUAGGCGGUUUGUCGCGUCUGCCGUGAAAGUCCGAGGCUCAACCUCGGAUCUGCGGUGGGUACGGGCAGACUAGAGUGAUGUAGGGGAGACUGGAAUUCCUGGUGUAGCGGUGAAAUGCGCAGAUAUCAGGAGGAACACCGAUGGCGAAGGCAGGUCUCUGGGCAUUUACUGACGCUGAGGAGCGAAAGCAUGGGGAGCGAACAGGAUUAGAUACCCUGGUAGUCCAUGCCGUAAACGUUGGGCACUAGGUGUGGGGGACAUUCCACGUUUUCCGCGCCGUAGCUAACGCAUUAAGUGCCCCCGCCCUGGGGGAGUUACGNGCCCGCNAGGCUUAAAACCUCAAAGGGANUUGACGGGGGGCCC